CGGUGCAAGGUGUGGCCUUCACGCUUAUUGCCCAUCGCUUUCACAUUGACGUGUGCCUCUGCUGCUGCUGUAGUGUCCGCAUCUCUCAUCUUUUUUUUUGCGUUGCUUGUAAGGCACUUAUAUCCGCCUUUGAAGUGCGCCUACGUUUUGCAUGUGUGUGUGUAUGCAUUGUGUGUUUUGGUGCUCUUCGCUAAUAAUAAGUCUCAUCCCCUUCAUGCGCGACGUGCGUCUGAACACGCGUUCAUGCACGUGCGUUUUGGCGUGCUCAGACUUCUGUCUCCGUUUUUCGCUGUUCGCUUUACAGUAUAUUGCACAUAUAUAUAUGUGCUAUUUAUAAUAAUAAUAUAUAUACACCUAUAUGUAUUUAUUUAUAUAUAUAUAUUUUUUUUGGUUUUGCUGAUCGUUUUAUCGUCGGAGCGAAACGCUGUGCAUCAACGAGCAGCGUCUGACAUCUACCGCGAUAGGACACAGGUGAGAGAAGCGAGAAAGAAUAUUCCCACAAGAGCCUCACCGGGUUCUACGAAGUUGUGCUUUCAAGUAGGAUGAACACGGCGACUGUGAUGAUGGCGCGCGGCCCGGUCACCCCACACCGCCGCCUUAGUAGAUGCACCAGCGCGCUCUGUUGUGCCAUCGCGAUCGCACUGUUUUGUGCUCUUUGUUGCGAAGUCAGCGCGCUGGAGGUGGGCAAGUUUUUUCCCGCCAAGACGCGCAUGAGCGCGAAGGAUCGUUACGAAUCUGUUCUGGCGCUGCAGUCUCUGCAGCGCGCGAUCGACGACCCUGAGCUGCAAAAGGAGGUAGAGUCCGCGCUCAAGGACACAACGAGGGGCUUCGACAUGUGCCGAUCGGCGCUGUACCGCUGCAACCGCGUGACCGGCGCUCUCGAGGAGGCGGUCAUCGAGGGCAUGCGAGACGGAACUGUGAAGUGGGACGAGUAUCCCAAGUCGGUGAAGCGGAUCCGCAUCACGGACUCGAGGCUGAGGCAGCCACUCGUGCUCUCCAGCUUACCUGCGAACCUUGAGGAAUUCGUGGCAACGAACGUGGAGUGGGAGUCCGACUCGAUUCUUCAGGCCCCAGGGAGUGGCGAGGGGGGAGUUGUGAAGGGGCCCUUGGCUCAUCUUCGCGUUUUGCAAUGUGACAACUGCGCUCUCGUGAAGGCAGAGGUGACGACGACGACACCCCAGCUGGAGUGGCUGCAGGUGUUGAGCCUUUCCGGCAAUCCAGACUUGUUCAUCGAUCUCCGCGAGCUGCCGCGCAACCUCCAAUCUCUGCAGCUCUCGUACACACAGCUGGCUCACUCCACGGUCAGGGAGGUAUUGGAGACUGCGCCGGCGUUUCUCUCGCUGCUGAAUAUCAGCUUCACCGGUGUUGCUCUGACCCUCGACAUGCUGCCGUCUGCACGGAAUCAGCUGAAGGCGUUGGAUGUGUCCGGCCUGGAAAGCAACAACCCGGGGUCACCUCUGUCUCUCUCUCAGCUGCAAAGCGCGUGUGGCGAAAGUGGCUUCAGCCUCGCAGAACUGUACCUCACCAGGUGCAGCCUGACGGGCACCCUCCCUCACCUUCGUAACUGCACGAAGCUGAAGGUGAUGGAUGUGUCGCACAACCUCCUCGAUGGCGCCGUGUUCGCUCAACUCCCCGAGAACAUAGAGUUGCUGCGUCUCAACAACAAUGCGAUACAGGGUGGCCUGCGCACCAGCGAACUCCCGCGCACUCUGCGCUCCCUUGAUCUUUCUGAAAACCAUUUCACGGGUGAGGUCGACCUCUCGGCACUGCCGCCGCAGCUGCAGUACCUCAACAUUGGCCACAAUCACUUCAGCGGCCAGGUGAACCUCACGCAGCUACCCGAGUCUGUCAAGUUUGUGUACAUGGAGUAUAACAACUUCACCGGCGCGGCUGACCUCGUCGACCUCCCACUCGGCAUCCGUUUUAUCAUGGUCCACCACAACAACUGGGACUACCUCAUGCCCGCCCCGUGAGAUGGGCCAGCACCAUUUAAGGCGAAAAAGCCGGCGGAAGGGUGCGGCGUUCUUAUUGUGGUGCUCGUGGUGGCAGCCUCAGCUCUCCGUCUUGCUCACCCUCUGCAUCUGAGCCGUUCACCUCCGUCUUCGUCUCUCUCUUUCUCCCCAUGCCAGUGCGCACGUACGUAUCUGCUUUUGGUGGUGAUUAAGCGCGGGGGUGGCGUAGCCAGGCGGUGGCGGCAGGGUUGGGGGGCAUCAAGUCAACAUUGUGCCUGGUUUAUGAGCAGCGAGCACCUUUGGGCUGUAGCACGUGUUGAGGAGAGUAAUAUCCAGCGCAUUCUUGUGUGACUAUCAUUUCGUGCGCCAUGUUACCUUCUCCUGCUCGCCCUUUUUUUUCCUAACACCAUUCGGUUACUUUUUUUCUGCUGCUUUUAGGCGUCGCCGCGCGGGAGAGGCAAGACUUGAAUGCAUGCUGCAUGUUAAAUAUUAUGGCAAACAACGGGGCCGACUCCGCACAGGCUCACACAAUGGAGCGCAGCACUAUCACCGCUGGCGUGCAUCUGCCUACAUGUUUGUCUAUGGUCGGAUGCGGCUGUGCAUUUCACUUUCUAUUCUGACUAGAAAAAUAAUGCCCUUGAUGCUGCCGGCCACCCACCGCGGGUGCCUGGGUGCGGCACCCAACGCUGUGCGGAAGCCAAGCGCCCACACCCAGCGCUUCGUGUGGUGGGCCUCGGACUCUUGGUGUCGGCGGACAGGUCUGGGCUGGCGGUGUGCCGAAGAGACGUGCGGCCUUGAUGGUCGCGUUGGGGCCCGCUCGCUACGAAUCGUGCCGACGGCUCAACACGUGUGCGCAACGGCGUGCAGCGGGCGCGAGUCUCUGUGCGGCGCCGGUGGCGCCGCACGUAUCCGAGGAAGGACGAGAAUGCAGGGCGCAUGACCCGACUCGACGGCAGACGGCUCGUGCUGGACGACGAGGAUUUAGCGGUGGCGCAGCAGAGGCAGGUGGGCUGCGGCUGCGUGCGCGUAUUCGCUGAGCUGCUCGCGGUACUAUGGCAUGUAAUCAAGAAAAGGGGUCUGCCGUUUUGUGUACUGACGUAAUGCUUGGAUUUUGGUGGAUUAUGGCUGCAGCGGUGAGCGCUGGUGGUCGUGCUGGACGUACUGCAUAUACGCAGAGGUUCUGGAUUGCUGUAGUACAUCGACCGGCUCUGUGUUGUACAUGUAGGGAAUGAGCUAGACGAUGCCUGCCGCGGUGAAAGUGUGCACCGCUUCUGGGGGUUCUGUGCACUGCCAGAGCAUCUAUUCGUGUACGCAUGUCUGCACCCUCGUCCCUCUUUGGUGGUUUUUGUUCAUGUACGCCGUUACCCACUUUUUUUGUUCGGUUUCCGGAGGCUGCAGGGAGACCUUGAUUCUGUGUUUGUCGGGCGGUGAGCGACGAGUGCUGCCGCGACCCAAGAG
rnacentral:misc_RNA from 1 species